rnacentral:rRNA from 1 species
AACGAACGCUGGCGGCAGGCUUAACACAUGCAAGUCGAGCGCCCCGCAAGGGGAGCGGCAGACGGGUGAGUAACGCGUGGGAAUCUACCCAUCUCUACGGAAUAACGCAUGGAAACGUGUGCUAAUACCGUAUACGUCCUUCGGGAGAAAGAUUUAUCGGAGAUGGAUGAGCCCGCGUUGGAUUAGCUAGUUGGUGGGGUAAAGGCCUACCAAGGCGACGAUCCAUAGCUGGUCUGAGAGGAUGAUCAGCCACACUGGGACUGAGACACGGCCCAGACUCCUUCGGGAGGCAGCAGUGGGGAAUAUUGGACAAUGGGCGCAAGCCUGAUCCAGCCAUGCCGCGUGAGUGAUGAAGGCCCUAGGGUUGUAAAGCUCUUUCACCGGUGAAGAUAAUGACGGUAACCGGAGGAGAAGCCCCGGCUAACUUCGUGCCAGCCGCCGCGGUAACAC